CCCCUAGAUGUUCUGGGCCGCACGCGCGCUACACUGAACAGUUCAACAAGUCUUAACCUUGGCCGAUAGGUCUGGGUAAUCUUUGAACGCUGUUCGUGAUUGGGAUAGACCUUUGCAAUUAUGGGUCUUCAACGAGGAAUUCCUAGUAAACGCAAGUCAUCAGCUUGGAUUGAUUACGUCCCUGCCCUUUGUACACACCGCCCGUCGCACCUACCGAUUGAAUGGUCCGGUGAAAUCUCGGGACGGCGGCUUGGUCGCUUGCGUCCGACUGCUGAAACUUGAUUAAACCAUAUCAUUUAGAGGAAGGUGAAGUCGUAACA
rnacentral:rRNA from 1 species